rnacentral:pre_miRNA from 1 species
GGGGGGGGGGGGGGGUUCCUCAGCCCAGAUUGCAGGAGGGUGCAGGCCAGGCUGAGGGACCCCACUAGUGCACG